rnacentral:rRNA from 1 species
CGCGUGGGGAAUCUGCCAAUGAGUGGGGGACAACAUUUGGAAACGAAUGCUAAUACCGCAUAAAAUCUAUUGAGACAUCUCAAGAGAUUGAAAGGAACAAUUGUUUCGCUCGUUGAUGAUCCCGCGUUGUAUUAGCUAGUUGGUGAGGUAACGGCUCACCAAGGCGAUGAUACAUAGCCGACCUGAGAGGGUGAUCGGCCACAUUGGGACUGAGACACGGCCCAAACUCCUACGGGAGGCAGCAGUAGGGAAUCUUCGGCAAUGGACGAAAGUCUGACCGAGCAACGCCGCGUGAGUGAAGAAGGUUUUCGGAUCGUAAAGCUCUGUUGUUGUUAAAGAACGUUGAUGAGAGUGGAAAGUUCAUCAAGUGACGGUAAACAACCAGAAAGGGACGGCUAACUACGUG